UACGGGGGGGGGCAAGCGUUGUUCGGAAUUACUGGGCGUAAAGGGCUCGUAGGCGGCCAACUAAGUCAGACGUGAAAUCCCUCGGCUUAACCGGGGAACUGCGUCUGAUACUGGAUGGCUUGAGUUUGGGAGAGGGAUGCGGAAUUCCAGGUGUAGCGGUGAAAUGCGCAGAUAUCGGGAGGAACACCGGUGGCGAAGGCGGUUCUCUGGGCCUUACCUGACGCUGAGGAGCGAAAGCGUGGGGAGCGAACAGG
rnacentral:rRNA from 1 species